UCACAUCAAAUAUUAAAAAUACUCUCGUAUCAAAAUGUGGACCAACAAGUUUUUCUUCCUUCUUACAGUUGCAUGCAUGGCUGUGUUCGGUACAGCUCAAACGUUGCCUUCGAUACCUGGACAGGACCCAGCAGAUUGUUUGUCAUCGUUGGAACUUAUUCCCAACUGUAUCUCAGAAAUUUUUGGAUCGAUAAUAAGUGGACAAAUCGGGACUAUUGGUCACUCUUGCUGCCAUGCCUUUUUGGGUCUCAAUGCAGAUUGUGUCACUCAGACGUUUGCCUUUGCUCCUCUCUUCCCUCUGACUCUACGGGAUCAUUGUUCCAAACAAUCGUAAUGCCAUAAUUAUCUACAUGUUCUAGGUCAUAAAUGUGCUAUCAAACAGUGUUAUGUUUCGGCUUAAGUAACAACUUCCAUGUAAACCCUAUGUGAUCAACUGAUCAUCUUUAUCCAUAUUUCGUGUUGAUAUAACAUGUGGAUAACUAUAUAACAAUAAUAAUAAUAAUAAUCUAAAGGAUAAGUCUAAACAUAAACAUGUUUGAUUCCUCAUAAAGCCGCUGUGUUACGUUCUUCUUUGACUUUGGUUGGUCACGUUAAUACCAUAAAAUGUGUUACUAUCUUAUUUUUUCUUUGAACUAUUUCUGUGUUACUAUCUUGUUCACACAAUAUCUUUCGGUAUGCAAGAGUGAGUGACGGACUUAUUACUAUUUAUCUCCCUCUUUAGCAUUGGUUGGCCUGAUUCAAAAGAUGGCCACCACUUUAAGCAAAAAUUAAGAUUAUUGCAGAUCAGUUGCAGAGUUACUGAAAAACAAAUAGUACGAAACAAUAUGUACGAAUUAUAUCAUAAUAAACCCUACAGAAUAAUGUUUGGACUUUGGAUAGUAAUCGCAAAAACAUAACUAAAAGCCCCAUAUAAUCCGCGUCUUGCGCACAAUUACAAUAGUUAUUCGUUUCAAAUCCAAGCACAAAGAAUGCUUAUGUAAAUCUUUUUUCUUGAUUAACGCAUAUAUAAAUCUUGAAUGACAGAUUAUAUAUAUUCUAAUUGUCAUUAUGUUAUUCAUUUUUUUAAUUACAUAAAAACACCCAGACUAAUAAUAAUGUGAUAUUUUUUUAAUGUGAUAUCGAAGGGGAUGGUGUGUUCACUAGGAUUAACACUAAACCUUAAAAAUUAGGGUUAACCUUAAACCAUGAACACUAAACCCACAAUCUAUACACUAAACCCAAGGAUUAACACUAAACCCUAAAUCCAAGGUUCAAUCCAAGUAGUAACGCCAAGUCAUCUCUAUUUUUUUGUAAAACUCUAAUUUGAUGUACCGGGUAUUCGUCAACUAAAUUUUUUACAAUACCGGAUAUACAUCUACUAAACCGGAUAACAAGUGUUGAGAUGUAAUUUGAUGAUAUUACAUGAUUUGCAUAAGUGUGAGGUCAUUUGAAAGAUUAUGAAUAAGUCAACAACAUACUGAUAUAUUCAGCAUCAACAAAUAAUAAUGUGUUGAAUAUGUAUUAUAACUGGAUAAGACAAAAGUAAUCUGGAUUAUGACAAUAAUAUCUAAAUAUAAAAGAUGGAGUAUAUGUACUCGUGAUUCCAAACGGUACACAGUUAAACCAGAUAAAACUUGCUGGUUAAUAGAUCAGCCAAGCUAAACAUUUUAGAAAUGACUUUAUGACCACGACUGAGUCUUCUGGAUCCAAACUCGUUAAAAUGUUUCCAAGAUCCUCAAGCUUCUUUGUCUUGUGGUGCCAGUCAUAAUCAUCAACAACCUCGUAUCAUUCUUGAAAAUUCAGACAAAACAUACAAACAUUGCCUGUUUCAAAGGAUCAUACAUGAAAAGCAGCAAAACUUAAGAUUAUAUGAAAAGCAGCAAGAACAAGAAAAAUACAUAAAAGACCGAAAGUUCUUGUUGAAGCUACCAUACUCUUUAAAGAGCUGUUCCAAAUGAGGCUUACAAUAUAAGACACUUUCCAUUGAUGCAUAUUUUUUUCAGCUAAAAAGUCUAGGCGAAACACUAAUCAAACAGAGAGAAUGCAAAAUCCAAAACCGAUAACCAAAAAAGAAGAAACCAAAUUAACCUUAAGUAUUUUUUCAAGCAGGAGAAACAUAUCUCACAACUAAACGUUGACAACGCCAUAGCAGCUCCAGCUCCAUCGAUGAUCACAUCAAUUAAACCACAUAGAUAUGAAUAAUUAAUUUUGGGCUGCUAUACUUUGUUGGAGCACAAAAUUGCUGUAUUAAAAAGAAGAAAAAAAUUGUUAUAUAAUGACGAUAGAGAACCCAUAAGAGCAAUUUUGAAGACUGAUACAUUAGAACUCUAAUGUCCCUGUCGGCGAACAUCAUAUCAGACAGAUCUACACGGGCUUCUUCACAGCCACUCACCGGAAGUUGAACGGACCGAGAACCCAUAAGAGCAAUUUUGAAGACGAUAUUUUUUCAGUGUAAAAGGGAGAAUGUUAGGAAGAUGAAAGAACGAGUGAGAGAACGAUAAACAUUAAACAGAUGAACUCUAUGGUUUCUUGCAAAACAUUGAAAGUUUUUUAACAUAUGAACUCUCUGGUUUCUUGCAGAACAUUGAAAGUUUUCAUGAAAAAACUUUCACGUCUUUUCAGAAUUAAUGCACAAACGUGUUUGUGUCAGACUCUUCCUUUCAUAUAUGUGACCGGCUACACAGGGACAGCGUCGCCAUUAUAAAAAAUUAAACAGUACAAUGUCCAUCUGCCUAAUUAAAUAAGUUUCCAUAGUUAUCUACUGCAAUUUCCCUAAAAUACUUAAUUGACUAAAAAUAAAUAUUUGGUUUGUUUGGGCAAAGGGCAUUUGAGAGAAAUCACACCAAAAAAGUACUCUACAAGUUGGAAGUAUGUUCAAACGUAAAUAGAAGAUGAGAAAGUAUGUCAUAUUGUAUUUUUUUCAAUACCAUUUAUGGUCUUUGUCUUCUUCUGUAAGGAAAAAAAUGAAAAUAUUGAACACCAAAUCUGAGCAGAACACAAAAAAGACAAACGAUUAAAGGUUUUUAAUCAGAAACAUGAUUUGUACAUGUUCAGAGAACUCGAGAAUUUUUUUCUCAAAUCUCUAAAAGAUUUUUAAUCUCUAACUAAGACACCUACAGACCCGCAUUGAGACGACACCAUUCUAUUGGGAAAAAAAUCAACAAAUAUUUGGAUUUGUGAGCAUGAUGCUUAUGGUAUGUAGACAAACCUUUUUAUAGCUGUAUGUACCGCCUUGAAGAGAAGAGGGAUUUAUUGAAUGUGAAAUCGUGGUUGUAGUAUGUCAAAGAAGUUAAGAAGUUCGUUAAUGGCAGACAAUCAAUUCAUCGCGCUUAACUGUUCCGGGGAGAAAAACAUGAGAUGAAACGACCCCAAGACUUCUCGAUAAAGAGAAUCAUCAUCAGAUUCAUCACGAUUCAUCUCGAAUAGCUCCCCCGAAACGUUUUCGUUGAUUAGAAGAGAAGAAAAAAAUCGGGAUUGAAGAUUCACAAAGCCAUUCUUCCCGUGGAAUGAACAUCCUGAAACUCCAUAGCUGAUAUUAGAGAACGAAGAAAAAGAUUCUUGGAUUCAUUGUGGAAGAAGAACAUGAACCCUAAAAUUUAGUGGGCUGGUGUCGCUGUAUAUUGGGCUGGCUAAAGGGAUUGAGCAAAAAGCCCACAAAAUCUGAAGGAAAUGCUGGAGACAAUAUGCACAGCAUCAGGGACAGGUGUCGCGCUCUCCUUUCCCUAUUUGAUGACAUGGCGCAAGGAGAUAGAGAGAAUGGUCUUCUUUAUAUUAUAACAAGUUGGGGGGCGGGGGAGGGGUCUAAAGGCACGUAUUUGGCUCAAACUAGCAUUGUAGAUCAACCAGAUCAAAUGGAACAAGCCGAUCUGAACGGAAAAAAUAAUGUUUAUGCAGAUCAAUUGCAAUUAUUCCGAGUAAAUCAUAAUAACCAGGAUAUUGCUAAACAAAUCAUAAUAAACUGUAUAGAAAGAUACUGAUUUUCUCAUCGAAUAUUAGAUAAUGAGAAGAAAAAGUAAAAUUUGAAAUAGUUUUGUAAACUUAAAGAAGUUGUAGAAGAAUAAUGAAUUAUCAAGAGGAAUGAAAAAUAAUAAGGGUCCGAUUGGUAAUGGCUGUAGCUUUAAAAAAAUUGCUGUAGAAAAAAAUAUGUAGACUUUUUGUUGUGGCUUUAGAUUUUGUUGUUUUAGAAUUUUAUAGAAAACUCCAAAAAAUUGCUCUGGAUUUUUGGCUCUACAGAGCACUUGUACAGCUUUAGGUUAUUUUGUGAUUUUGAAAUUUUUAUUAAAGUUUGAUUGUUUUGAAUUUAGUGCUGUAGAAAUAAAUGGGGUUAUGAACAGCACCUACAGCUACUACCAAUCACACGCUAAUUAACAGGAAACGCCAACAAUAAGAAACAAACUGUUAACCCUUGAUUUGGGGUCAUCCCAAGUGUGCCUACCUGUGUUAGUUCACAAAGAAACCGUUCACAAAAUGCAAUGUAGUGAAAUUUCACAUUUGUUAUUCGUCUAUAUAUAUAUCCAACCACUGACUACUACUAGAUUCACAUCAAAUAUUAAAAAUACUCUCGUAUCAAAAUGUGGACCAACAAGUUUUUCUUCCUUCUUACAGUUGCAUGCAUGGCUGUGUUCGGUACAGCUCAAACGUUGCCUUCGAUACCUGGACAGGACCCAGCAGAUUGUUUGUCAUCGUUGGAACUUAUUCCCAACUGUAUCUCAGAAAUUUUUGGAUCGAUAAUAAGUGGACAAAUCGGGACUAUUGGUCACUCUUGCUGCCAUGCCUUUUUGGGUCUCAA
rnacentral:lncRNA from 1 species